GAAGUUUAUGUGAUGAGCUUAUAGUUCAUAUGAUUUGUUUAUUAAGCAAAAGUGAACUAAAAGAAAAUAUGUCUUUCGCCCUUAUCUGAUUAGUCUG
rnacentral:snoRNA from 1 species